AUACUUACCUGACGUAGAGGUUAACCGUGAUCACCAAGGCGGUUCCUCCGGAUUGAGACUCUGCCAUUGCACUUUGAGGUGGGGCUGACGUCUGCGAUUAUUCCUAAUGCGAAUAAAUCGUGCGUGAAAUUUUUGGUAGCCGGGAAUGGCGUUCGCGCCGUCCCGAC
rfam:Drosophila grimshawi strain TSC#15287-2541.00 scaffold_15126 genomic scaffold, whole genome shotgun sequence.